rnacentral:tRNA from 1 species
GGUAGUUUUAGCUCAGUUGGUAGAGUAAGCACUUGUGGCGUGCCUUGUCCAGAGUUCGAAUCUCUGAUUCUACC